rnacentral:rRNA from 1 species
GACGAACGCUGGCGGCGUGCUUAAUACAUGCAAGUCGAGCGGACGGACGAGAAGCUUGCUUGUCUGUUGUUAGCGGAGGACGGGUGAGAAACACGUGGAUCCUGUCCCUAUCUGACUGGGAAAUCUUCGGGACUCCGGAUCUAAUAGCGGAGAAUAUUUUGAACCGCAUGGGUCAAAGGAGAAAGACGGCCUUGCUGUCAGUUAUAGCUGGAUACGCGCUGCGUUAGCUCGUUGGUAAGGUAACGGCUUGUCAAGGCAACGAUGCAUAGCCGACCUUAGAGGGGGAACCGCCACUCAGGAGCUGAGCCACCGUCCAGGCUCCUACGGGAGGCAGCAGUAGGUAAUCUUCCGCGAUGGGCGAAAGCCUGACGGAGCAACGCCGCGUGAAUGAAGAAAGUCCUCGGGUCGGAAAACGCUGUUAUUGUGGAAGAACAUAUGUGUAAGUAACUGUGCACAUCUUAACGGUACCUAUACAGAAAGCCCCGCCUAACUCCGU